AAUGAACUUUAGAAAACGAUAUUGAGCUAAUAGCUACGAAUUAAAUUAUAAUUUCAUUUGUUCCACAGUUUCUUUUACGAAAAUGUUUGGGAUGACAGCAGAUAAGACGAAAUCCACGGAGUAAAAAAGGAGAUGCCGGCAUCUUUGAUCUAACAGGGAAAUUUAAAUCGAGCAGAUCGAUUUUCAUGUACUAUUAAUUUUACGGCGUGGAAAAUUUGAAAAAGAAGAGACACCAAAAUGAGUAGAUGAAUGUGUUACAAAGAUACAACAAAAUAUUUAUUACAAAUAAUUUACUGCUGCAUAUGCAGGUUUAAAUUAUUUUUCUUUGACCGCCAUACUCCUACACUAGGCGCAUGCGCAGUGCAGCUAAAUUUAAUUCUGUUCGUGUUUUUGAAACUGGAAACUGCAUCUUCGGAUCCACAAAGCUGUUGAUUACACGGGACGAGUAAUGGAUCUAAAUUAAACGACAAUGAUUUAUCAUUUAUUGUAAUACCCAGUGACAAAAGUGGAAUACAGCUUUAUCGGCCAGGCAUUCUAUUCGGAAUUGAGAUCGUUUCCCGCUGAGGCUGAUCAAAAAAAUCAUGAGCCAACGGUAUAUGAAAUAAUUAUUACAAUCAGAGCAAGGUCGCGUAAUAUAAAACAAUGUACUCUCGAUUAGUUAUUACAACGUGUCAUUUAAGUUAUGCUAAAAAAAAUAUAACUCUUGUUACCAGUGAUAAUAACUCGUCCGUAUAAGUAAAAUAUCUUUUGCAGUCACUUAGCCGACUAACGGUAAAUAUACAUAUAUAUCUUAAACAUUUACGUGUCUGUCCAUGCAUACAUAAAGAAUACAUCGCGAGUAACUUUGUCGGAUGGUUCGACAGUUCAUAAAACAUAUACAGACGGAUCCAUAUGAUCUUCUAAUUACUUUCUAACAAUUUGUCGACGACCCAACAAUAUUACGCGCUUGUGAUGUAUCUUUUAUAUAUGCAUGUGCAUGGUUAUAUUACAUACGUAUGUAUACAUAUACACGGUCACAUUCUUAUAUGUUAUAGACCUACACCGGUAAAUCGUAACUACAUUCGUGCCCCUUUAAAACGAUACAAACAGUCGCCUCAAUUCAUGAUUUGCCACAGCAAAGACAGCGCUGAAUACAUAAUAUAUUUCGCAUCAGGACUAGUUCGAUGGCAGAUCUUCGACCGACUACAGUAUUACUGGAACAGUCAAGGAACAAUGAUGGCACAACGAUAAGUUUAAUUAAUUACACCUCGAUUAAUCUAUUCCCUUAUAGAACCAUUUCGUUUCAGGAAAAUCAGGAAACGUCCAUCGUCAUCGAAACGCAAGAGGAGUCGCAUCUCUACUUUUCCUGCUGACCAGCUAAUCAUUCUAUUAUGAGUAACAAUUGCAGUGAUUAACCGCGACGAAUCGGUUAUAAAAUUACACUCCCCGACCGAGAUCCGACAAUCGCUUAAUUAUAAACACGUUUAUAAGCGCACAAUCGUUGCGAACGCAUCGACAACUAACGCUAAUCAUCUUUGUCAUCGAGCUAUCAGCGUGUUCACGCGACGAGCUAGUUUAUUAUCAUGUGGACAGUAACUUCCGCCGACGAAGUUCGUAGCAGCUAUUCGAUAAAACAAUCGCUAUCCGCAAUAAUCUAACGCGAUGAACAUCUGCAGCGACUUAUUUAUGUACACUUUCGUUUUAAAUAUUUACAUCAUCCACUACGGCACAGAACCAUUGGCGUAACUGGACAAGGUGGGUCACUAUGGACUGAUCUUCCAUUACAGGACAUGUUGGAGUAGUAGAUUUAUUUCACUUUAUUUUGGGGAAUUAGAGAAUUUAGGAAAUUUGAGAAUUUUCCUAUUUCUAAAGUACUUUACGAAUUCUCAAACUUCCAAAUUUUCUGAUUCAUCAGGUUUCCAAAAUUGGGUACCUCACCUAGGACUGAAACUCCCAGUUACGCUAAUGCAGAGCUAGAGCGAUAAGAAGGAAGUAUUUUUGUACCAACGUUCGUGGAGUGACACGUAUCGUGUCCUCGCAAGUACAUCUCGAUAGACAACAUACAAAACGGUAUUUUUUUAUCGUUACACUUGUGGUUGCUUCCCUUUUUUUUCUUAUAAAUCGAUAUGAAUGGUUGAAAAUAACAUAGCACCGAAGGAACUUGAGCGCAACAUCACGCGUUGUCUGAUAGCUCUUGGCAAUGACUCAGAGAACUAUAACGAUACACUUACAAGCUAAUUAUCCUAACUAUUAAUAUCAUGAGUAGUAUUAAUUAUCUCUCACGAAUAACGAAGAGGUUCAGGUAACAAUUUCAACGAAUACUUCUUUCUUUCUUCGCGUUACAGCUUACUAAACUACGAACAGAGCGACUAGGUAAAAGAUGAUUGUACAUACACCAGAACUUUCUGACUGGUUGCUCAAACUCGAUCGAAGAUCAGCGAAUAAAAUGUAAAACCGAUCGAAAUGACACGAAAUCAAUGGUUAAAUACUUCUCUAGGAUAUUUCUUUAGAAUCUUUGUUUAAUUCUAGGAACUAGACUGGUCAUCUCGACGGCUACUUUGUAAAAAAUUUUGAUCGUGCUCGAUCACAUUGUGAACGAUACUAUUGUAUCAACGAUAGAAAAAAGGACAAUACAAAAUAAAAUAGAGUAAACCUUGUUGAAUUCAAUGUUAAUCCUGAGUUACAGCGUCAUGCGUUCUAUUGCCACUGCUACGUUAAUUUAGUAAGAAAUGUAAAUUUGCAAGUAAAGCGCAAGCUGAAGUAUCACGGCUACACAAAUAUCUUAAAAACGGAAGUCAGUUAAUUUACUCAGAAUCUUUGGAACAUCUACAUUGUAAUCGACAAGGUUUACUUUCUCUAAAAAUCAAUUUUGUUCGAGAAAUGAUACCGCACAAAUAAUAAUCGAAGUCCUCGUACGUUCAAACCACGUCGAUCAGAAAGAUCCAUUUCCACGGAGGAUAAGUCUAUCAUAUAAUUGCACGCUUUUAUACAAUGGAUUCGUCAAAUGUACAGGUAUAUAUACAUACAGAGAGAGAAGGAGAGAGAGAGGGGAUAUAAAAG